AUGGAAAUAGGGUUACGGGGCUGGCUGGCAGCAGCGGGGAGGCGCGGUAACCCCGCGCCGCGGAGAUCCGCACAGCUGACCCGGCCGGGGCCGGGGCUGGGGCCCUGCCCCGCACCUGCGUCCGCUCCUGCCGCCCGCACCGCCCGCAGCUCCGCCCGUACGCAGCGCCCGCAGCGCGGAGCGCAGGGACAGCCCCGCAGCGACUGCACCAGCACCCCAAAACACGGACACGGACACGGCAACUUCGCGCACCGCCCCCAACUCACCGGGAGGCGCCGGCCCCGCGGAGCGGAGCGUCCCUGGAUGCCGCCGCCUCCCGCGGAGCGCAGCCCGCAGCGGCGCGGCCACGGAGCCGAGGGAGGAGAGGCAGCAAGUUGCGGCGCGUCUCUCGUCUCUUCUUCUCUCCUCUCCUUUUCUCUCCCUACCCGCCUCCUCCUCCUCCUCCCCCUCUCUCCCUCCCUCCCCCUCCUCCGCCCGGCGGGAGGGUCGGGGGAGGCGGCGGAGGGGCCGGAGCGCGGCCGCGGAGCGCGGCGCGGGCACUGCGCAUGUCCCCGCGCCCGGCGGCGGAGCCAGGGAGGCGGCGGCGGCGCCGCGGGCCGGCAGCGAGCGCGGCACGGCACGGCACGGGCACGGCCGUGUGGAGGCUGCGGGGCACGGGCACGGCACGGCUCGGCACGGCCCUGCGGAGGCUGCGGGGCACGGCACGGGCACGGCAGGGCUCGGCACGGCACGGCCCUGCGGAGGCUGCGGGGCACGGCACGGCACGGGCACGGCACGGCUCGGUCCUGCGGAGGCUGCGGGGCUCGGCUGCCGCCGCAGCGCCUCGCUCGCUGCCCACCUUGCGGCAGUGCCGCGGCCCCGGGGGCCUUGGCCGCCCCCAGCAGCGGGGAGCAGCUGCGGCCGGGCCGGCGCUGCGGCGGAGGAUGCUGCGGCCGCCGCCCCGAUUGCUCCACGGGGGCUGCGCGGCUGGAGGAUGCUCCGGUGGCCGGCCUGGAAAGGAGGAAAAAAAGGAGGAAUUGA
rnacentral:lncRNA from 1 species